rnacentral:rRNA from 1 species
AUUGAACGCUGGCGGCAGGCCUAACACAUGCAAGUCGAGCGGAUGAAGGGAGCUUGCUCCUGGAUUCAGCGGCGGACGGGUGAGUAAUGCCUAGGAAUCUGCCUGGUAGUGGGGGAUAACGUCCGUAAACGGGCGCUAAUACCGCAUACGUCCUGAGGGAGAAAGUGGGGGAUCUUCGGACCUCACGCUAUCAGCUGAGCCUAGGUCGGAUUAGCUAGUUGGUGGGGUAAAGGCCUACCAAGGCGACGAUCCGUAACUGGUCUGAGAGGAUGAUCAGUCACACUGGAACUGAGACACGGUCCAGACUCCUACGGGAGGCAGCAGUGGGGAAUAUUGGACAAUGGGCGAAAGCCUGAUCCAGCCAUGCCGCGUGUGUGAAGAAGGUCUUCGGAUUGUAAAGCACUUUAAGUUGGGAGGAAGGGCAGUAAGUUAAUACCUGGCUGUUUUGACGUUACCAACAGAAUAAGCACCGGCUAACUUCGUG